GUCCUAAAUGGACUCAUGACAAAUACCAAGGGGAUGGGAUUGUUGAAGAUGAAGAAGAGACCAUGGAAAAUAAUGAAGAAAAGAAGGACAGACGCAAGGAAGAAAAGGAAUAAUAAAUAUGAAGUAAGAUUACAACAGAGCAGAACUUGCACCCACCAUUUUUUUUACCUGAUUUUUGUUUUCAAAUAAGAAUGUAAGCAUUUUACUUAAAUUUUACUGUUUGCAAGUAGUCUAUAGAAAUUUUGUUUUAAGUCUUCAAAUAUCUUGAGAAAUAGUAGACUGUAUGUUGAAAAUUGUACUGAAAUAAAGUAGAAAAUUGUUACGUACCAUAUUUGUAACUAUCAACUUUUAAAACUUUUAACGUUUUUGUUACAUGCAUUGUAAUUCUGCUUUGUCUAUAAGAUAUGGUCAAGUACAGCUCUGUGAAAGUUCUGAUUCUCUUCCUUCCCUGUUUGUCAAUGUUUUAUUCUGAAGUAAACGUUAGCUCUACAUAUAAAUCCUGGAACAGAAAUUGUUUAUAGAGACUACACUAAUUAUUUUAACUGUAUACAUCUGUUUAAUUUGAACACACUACAUCGUAGGGUGACUGAUUUUUGAAGUAUACCACAGACAAAAAGUUGUUACUAUGGUAAACUAAGCUAGUUUAACACUUGAGCAAAUGCUUAAGAAGG
rnacentral:lncRNA from 1 species